rnacentral:misc_RNA from 1 species
AAAAAAAAAACAGAAAAGUGAUCUUCUUGGAUCAGUAACCAAUCAAUAAAUUUGCUCCCUGCUCUCUCUUGUGCCACGUGCAUUCUUCCUGUGCUUUUUCUCCUGCCCAUUCUGUACAUUUGUUAGCUUUCAAGCUCUGAACUCAAAUGUUUGCAGAAGCCCAUUCACAAGGGUGAGCUAUCCUGCCUGAUUUUUGGUACUAUCGUCUACUUUCCAAACAUCUUACUGACACCAGGUCCCUCCGGUUGAAAUGAAUAUAUGAUUGGGAAAUGCUUUUCUGGUUGGUAACCUACCAUAUAAAUGGGUGUAACUGUCUUGUAUAUCUCAGUUGUGAUUUAGAAUUGCUAUUGGUUUGGUAAAAUUUUAUGAACCAUCCCAUUCCAGAAGUUGCUUCAUGCAAAUGUCUCAUUUGCUGGGAAUACAUAUCAUGAUUUGCUUGACA